rnacentral:rRNA from 1 species
CCCUUAGAUGUUCUGGGCCGCACGCGCGCUACACUGAUGGAUUCAACGAGUUUUAUAGCACUUUUGGUGUUGUAGUCCUUGGUCGGAAGGCCUGGGUAAUCUUGUAAAUGUCCAUCGUGAUGGGGCUAGAUUUUUGCAAUUUUGAAUCUCCAACGAGGAAUUCCUAGUAAACGCAAGUCAUCAGCUUGCAUUGAUUACGUCCCUGCCCUUUGUACACACCGCCCGUCGCUCCUACCGAUUGAAUGAUCCGGUGAGGCCCCCGGAUUGUGGCAAUGGCUCUGGUUCGCCAGACCAAUGCUGCGAGAAGCUGUCCAAACCUUAUCAUUUAGAGGAAGGAGAANUCGUANCA